rnacentral:misc_RNA from 1 species
CCAAACUUGGUCAUUUAGAGGAAGUAAAAGUCGUAACAAGGUUUCCGUAGGUGAACCUGCGGAAGGAUCAUUAGUGAAUAAACUUGUGUGGGUUGCUGCUGACCUCCUCGGGGUAUGUGCACACCUGCCAUUGUUUCAUUCUCCCUUCCACCUGUGCACUAACUGUAGACUGAGCUUGCUGCACCUUCAGCCACAUGCAUUUGUGGUUGGCGUGAGGACUGCUGACGCUGUUCUCGGGUGGCUUGGUCUAUGUAUUUAUCAACACCCCAUUGUAUGUGAUUGAAUGUCAUUCUGGGUUCUUUACCGACCCAUAAAAUGUUAUACAACUUUCAACAACGGAUCUCUUGGCUCUCGCAUCGAUGAAGAACGCAGC